UUGCCAAUUUCUGUUUCCACUUCCGACGACACGAACGAGAGGUUUGGGGGUUUUGAGGAGCUCACGGCGGCGAACCACCGGCAGCAGGCUGCGGCAUCCCCAAGCAAAGAGGUAGGUAAAACAGUGGGUGAGAGUUUCGAGGGCGAGCCUCCAAUCUCUUUAAUGAUCCCUCCGCAGGUUCACUGUCACACGUUAGCACAGUCCAAAACAGCAUCGACGGCGGAGACACUCACCCUACGGAGA
rnacentral:misc_RNA from 1 species